AAAUCUGUGCAGAAAGCCUUGGAGAUGUUCCCUGAUAGAUGCACAGAGAUCAGGGAUGCAGUGGCUCCCAAGAGUCUGGUGUCAUUCUGCAUGAAGACCCCUUAGCCUGGUCACCAGCGCUACUGUCCAGGAAUGAAGCACACUGUUGUUCUUGGGUUUGAAUCUAGAGCCUGUCAAUACUAAGCAAGAACUGUACUACUGGAUAUGCUCUCAGCCUCCCCCAUGCAGCAUUGUGUCACUGAAUCCUCACAUAAAUUCUGAGGUAGACAUCAUCAUCAUCGUCACCACUUUCUUCUUCAUCUCCAUCUUU
rnacentral:lncRNA from 1 species